AGAGUCUAUUUUAGGAGGCUCCACUGGUAAAACAGUUUUUGUUUCUCUUUCCUAAAGCAAAAAACAGUUUGUUACUGUUUCCUUGCUUUCUUUCCUUUUUGUGGUGGUGCUUCCAAUGGAGGUGGACGAAGUCAAGAACAGCAACAACAAUCACAACAACAACAACAGCAACAACAACAAGAAGAACGGUCCUUCUGUGCCUUCCAACUUCGUCACGAUUGUUCAACUCGAGGAACGAUGGCUUCAAGAGAAGCAAAGCAAGCUGAAGAAGGAGAAGGAGCUAGAGGAAGCAGCAGCACAAGAAGAAAAGGAACGACAAAGGAAGCUUCAGCUGCAGAAGCUUCGGGAAAAAGAGGAAGAAGAGCGGAAGCGAAAACUGGUUCAGAGCCAGGGUCGUCUCAAAUUCAACGCGAAUGAUCGCAAGCCCGACCGGAGACUGCAAAUUUGGCGGGAAAAUCGCCGAGCGGUGGUGGAGGUGAGCCCUGCGAAGAAGCCGGAGGAGCCGGCGGCGCUCGUGGCCGUGGAGGUUGGUAUCGGGAAUGCGAGUGCUCAGAAGGAGCAAACUGGCGAGGAAGCCAAGGAGAACAACAACGAGAAGAAGAACAAGAAGAAACCAAAGAAGAAGAAGAAGAAGAAAAUGAAACCUAGGUCAGAGGAAGAGAAAGAGAAGGAGAAGGAGGAGGUGGAGGUGACGGGAGGUGCGUCACACGCGCCGAAAGUGAUUGGCGAGAAGGAGAACUCUCCGGCGAGAACGAACGGCGAAUCGGAGGGAACAAAGAGUGAAUUCAGGCCGACGGCGGAGAUUGAACGGAAAUUUGGGGAUUUCACAAUCGGAAAAGGGAAUGUUAGAGUGACGAGGCCGAACACCGGUAUUUAUCACGGUCACAGAGACAAUCGGGGCUUUGGAGGAAGUUACAGGGAUUACAAAGGCUCUUCCAAGUUUGGCGGUCGCAAAGAGGUACAGAAGCCUAGUGGUGCUGGAAUGGCUUGGGUUAAGAAGGGAGAGAUUGGCGGUGUUCACAAUCAGAGAUCGAUCACCGAGCCGAAGAAAUCGAAUUAGUUUCAAUUGCUCUGCGGUUUUUGGUGCAAUGGUGCUUAUUUUGGGGAAAGUUUACAUGAAGCUUUAGGAGGUGUUAAACUGAAACGGAGAAAGGGAUUUGGGUCAUAAGUCAGCAACUAGUUGUGUAGGUUUUGCUAGAAGUGGCUGCUGGAGAAGGAGAAAGGGAAGAAGUAAUUAAUACUGUUUAAAGUGAUUGAUAUCAUAUUGAUCCAUGCCUGUUUGGUACAGUUUGUUUUUCAGUAUUUUGAAAAUGGAUUGUUUGAAAGAGCUGUACCUAGAAAAAAAUUUAGGGUUUUAGAUUUACUUCAAGAAAGUGGUUCUAAACCGCCCUCCUAAAUAGGCAAGUGAUACAAUAAAUUUCAUUUACUUGGUUUGGUCACUCUCUUUAAUGGAUUUGGCCAUAAAUCUGUGCAUCACCAUAGAAGAAUCAGAAUAAUUAGCACCUUUCCUGCA